GCCUGGUGUCCCCCGACGAACUUUGACCUCUGACCUGGAGCUGGUUGGAGGGCAUUGGGGUCGGGAGGGCCGGAGCAGCCAGGAGGAGGACGAGGAGGAGGGGGGAGGCGAAGGGAAGCAUGGCUGUGCUCGGACCGGUAGAGAGCUGAGGAGCGGAUUGUUUCCAGCAGGCAGGUGGAGGAGGUGACGCUGCAGGUGGAGGAGGUGGAGCUGCAGGUGGAGGAGAUCUCCGUUCGGUGGCUCAGAUCCCACACAGCUUCACAUCUGAUGAACUCAGCCACACCAAUGGGAAUAAAUCAAGAGAGAAGUAGAAUUAUUUUCUCAUAGACUUCUAUUGGAGCAGAGGAGUCGCCCCCCGCUGGUCACUACACAGAAUACACCAACAACACAAAUAUGCAUUAGCUUCACUUGUCAGAACCAGAAAUUUGAGCCUGGACUGUUUUUUUUAUUGCAGGGCAACGGCGUGUUGUGAGGCUGUUUGGCGGUUUGUGAUGUAAUGAUUACACGCCCCUCGUUUAGUAUCGAUGACGCAGCCAGACGAGACUUUCACACAAACAGUGAAAAGAAAAAAGCUGCUCUCUCUCGUAAAAGUUUUUUACGU
ensembl:lncRNA